UACGUAGGUGGCAAGCGUUAUCCGGAAUUAUUGGGCGUAAAGAGCGCGCAGGUGGUUAAUUAAGUCUGAUGCGAAAGCCCACGGCUUAACCGUGGAGGGUCAUUGGAAACUGGUUGACUUGAGUGCAGAAGAGGGAAGUGGAAUUCCAUGUGUAGCGGUGAAAUGCGUAGAGAUAUGGAGGAACACCAGUGGCGAAGGCGGCUUCCUGGUCUGCAACUGACACUGAGGCGCGAAAGCGUGGGGAGCAAACAGG
rnacentral:rRNA from 1 species